CACGUAGGGUGCGAGCGUUGUCCGGAAUUAUUGGGCGUAAAGAGCUCGUAGGCGGUGUGUCGCGUCGGCCGUGAAAACCUGCAGCUUAACUGUGGGCUUGCGGUCGAUACGGGCAUCACUGGAGUUCGGCAGGGGAGACUGGAAUUCCUGGUGUAGCGGUGAAAUGCGCAGAUAUCAGGAGGAACACCGGUGGCGAAGGCGCCACUCUGGGCCGAAACUGACGCUGAGGAGCGAAAGCGUGGGUAGCAAACAGG
rnacentral:rRNA from 1 species